GAGAGGUGCUGCAUGGCUGUCGUCAGCUCGUGUUGUGAAAUGUGGGUUAAGUCUUGCAACGAGCGCAACCUCUAUCGUUUGUUGCCAGCAUUAAGUUGGGCACUCUGACGAGACUGCCUGGGUUAACCAGGAGGAAGGUGGAGAUGACGUCAAGUCCUCAUGGCCCUUAUGUCUAGGGCUACACAUGUAAUACAAUGGCGCGUACAGAGGGAAGCGAACUCGCGAGGGGGAGCAAAUCUCAAAAAGCGCGUCUCAGUUCGGAUUGGAAUCUGCAACUCGACUCCAUGAAGUUGGAAUCGCUAGCA
rnacentral:rRNA from 1 species